rnacentral:rRNA from 1 species
AUGAACGCUGGCGGCGUGCCUAAUACAUGCAAGUCGAGCGAACAGAUGAGGAGCUUGCUCCUCUGACGUUAGCGGCGGACGGGUGAGUAACACGUGGAUAACCUACCUAUAAGACUGGGAUAACUUCGGGAAACCGGAGCUAAUACCGGAUAAUAUAUUGAACCGCAUGGUUCAAUAGUGAAAGACGGUUUUGCUGUCACUUAUAGAUGGAUCCGCGCCGCAUUAGCUAGUUGGUAAGGUAACGGCUUACCAAGGCAACGAUGCGUAGCCGACCUGAGAGGGUGAUCGGCCACACUGGAACUGAGACACGGUCCAGACUCCUACGGGAGGCAGCAGUAGGGAAUCUUCCGCAAUGGGCGAAAGCCUGACGGAGCAACGCCGCGUGAGUGAUGAAGGUCUUCGGAUCGUAAAACUCUAUUAUUAGGGAAGAACAAAUGUGUAAGUAACUAUGCACGUCUUGACGGUACCUAAUCAGAAAGCCACGGCUAACUACGUG